GAUGAACGCUGGCGGCAUGCCUAACACAUGCAAGUCGAUCGGUAAGGCUCUUCGGAGUACACGAGAGGCGGACGGCUGAGUAACGCGUAGGAACACACCCUGCAGUGAGGGAUAAGACACCGAAAGGUGUUCUAAUACCGCAUACGGUCUUCGGAUUAAAGCAUUUAUGCGCUGAAGGAGUGGCCUGCGUCAUAUUAGAUAGUUGGUGAGGUAAUGGCUCACCAAGUCGAUGAUGUGUAGCUGGUCUGAGAGGAUGAUCAGCCAGACUGGAACUGAGACACGGUCCAGACUCCUACGGGAGGCAGCAGUGAGGAAUAUUUCACAAUGAGCGAAAGCUUGAUGGAGCAAUGCCGCGUGCAGGAUGAAGGCCCUCGGGUUGUAAACUGCUUUUAUAAGAGAAGAUUAUGACGGUAACUUAUGAAUAAGGGACGGCUAACUACAUG
rnacentral:rRNA from 1 species